rnacentral:rRNA from 1 species
CAGUCGCCACGGUAAUACAGAGGGUGCGAGCGUUAAUCGGAUUUACUGGGCGUAAAGCGUGCGUAGGCGGCUUCUUAAGUCGGAUGUGAAAUCCCUGAGCUUAACUUAGGAAUUGCAUUCGAUACUGGGAAGCUAGAGUAUGGGAGAGGAUGGUAGAAUUCCAGGUGUAGCGGUGAAAUGCGUAGAGAUCUGGAGGAAUACCGAUGGCGAAGGCAGCCAUCUGGCCUAAUACUGACGCUGAGGUACGAAAGCAUGGGGAGCAAACAGGAUUAGAGACCCGAGUAGUCCCUGUCUCUUAUAC